rnacentral:rRNA from 1 species
AGAGUUUGAUCCUGGCUCAGGAUGAACGCUAGCUACAGGCUUAACACAUGCAAGUCGAGGGGAAACGAUAUUGGAAGCUUGCUUCCGAUAGGCGUCGACCGGCGCACGGGUGAGUAACGCGUAUCCAACCUGCCCAUCACUUGGGAAUAACCUUGCGAAAGUAAGACUAAUGCCCAAUGACAUUUAUGGAAGGCAUCGGAAAUGAAUUAAAGAUUUAUCGGUGAUGGAUGGGGAUGCGUCUGAUUAGCUUGUUGGCGGGGUAACGGCCCACCAAGGCGACGAUCAGUAGGGGUUCUGAGAGGAAGGUCCCCCACAUUGGAACUGAGACACGGUCCAAACUCCUACGGGAGGCAGCAGUGAGGAAUAUUGGUCAAUGGGCGAGAGCCUGAACCAGCCAAGUAGCGUGCAGGAUGACGGCCCUAUGGGUUGUAAACUGCUUUUAUAGGGGAAUAAAGUGAGCCACGUGUGGUUUUUUGCAUAUACCCUAUGAAUAAGGACCGGCUAAUUCCGUGCCAGCAGCCGCGGUAAUACGGAAGGUCCGGGCGUUAUCCGGAUUUAUUGGGUUUAAAGGGAGCGUAGGCCGGAGAUUAAGCGUGUUGUGAAAUGUAGAUGCUCAACAUCUGCACUGCAGCGCGAACUGGUUUCCUUGAGUACGCAUAAAGUGGGCGGAAUUCGUGGUGUAGCGGUGAAAUGCUUAGAUAUCACGAAGAACUCCGAUUGCGAAGGCAGCUCACUGGGGCGCAACUGACGCUGAAGCUCGAAAGCGCGGGUAUCGAACAGGAUUAGAUACCCUGGUAGUCCGCGCGGUAAACGAUGGAUGCCCGCUGUUGGGCCAACUGGUUCAGCGGCCAAGCGAAAGCAUUAAGCAUCCCACCUGGGGAGUACGCCGGCAACGGUGAAACUCAAAGGAAUUGACGGGGGCCCGCACAAGCGGAGGAACAUGUGGUUUAAUUCGAUGAUACGCGAGGAACCUUACCCGGGCUUGAAUUGCAGAGGAAGGAUUUGGAGACAAUGACGCCCUUCGGGGCCUCUGUGAAGGUGCUGCAUGGUUGUCGUCAGCUCGUGCCGUGAGGUGUCGGCUUAAGUGCCAUAACGAGCGCAACCCCUCUCCAUAGUUGCCAUCAGGUGAAGCUGGGCACUCUGUGGACACUGCCACCGUAAGGUGCGAGGAAGGUGGGGAUGACGUCAAAUCAGCACGGCCC